rnacentral:tRNA from 3 species
GGCGCCUUGGCAGAGUGGUUAUGCAGCGGAUUGCAAAUCCGUGAACCUCGGUUCGAUUCCGGGAGGCGCCUCCA